AUCAGGGGCGCCAAAGCAGCAGGCGAAAAGCUCCGUCCUUUGAGCUGUGCCUCUUGGGAGUUGGGACCAGAUCGUGGGUCACGCGAAGGCGAUGGGGUUCGGUGCAAAAUCCGGGGCGACGGAUUUUAUUUUAGGUGGCAUUGGCAAAGGGUGGCUUUAAUUUGGCUUUGGGAAGGAAAUUAAAGCCCCCUCGAAUCCUCAAAGAGGCAGCAAUGGUUCCACAUAAAAGCGCCCAAUGGGAGCUCCCUCUUCUCCCCCCUCUUAAGCCCACGUACGUAUGCCCAGGGCGGCAGGGGGCCGGCAGCCGGCACGGCAGACUAGCUAGUUGCUCCAUGACACCAUACAUCGCGUGUCUUGGUCUUGGCAAUGGGAAGCUGCGCGCACCUCGACGGGACGGCGCGGCGCCUAGCUGUAGGGCGGCGUGGGCUCAUCGUCGCCAUGGAGCUGCCUGCUGCUGCUCACCUUGUUGAUGAGGAGUGAUGGAUGGCCAUGGCUUCGAUCGCCGUCGAGGACGACAGCGGCGGCGAGUUUUAUUUACCUCUCUACUAAGGUAGGGCAACUUGUAUCCUUUGGCAAUUGUUCUCAUCUAUCUGGGGGCCGGGCCGGGUGUCUCUUGAUGACGGUACGGUCGGUGAUGGUAGGACAGGGAGAGGGUGAGUAACCUUGUGUUCUUGUUCUUGGAAGGUUAUGAUGGAAGUGCGUGGUAUGUAUGAUGCUAUAAUUGACCUUUGGUGUUUGUAUACAUGUUUAUCGCGUGUUCUAAUAGUUAUAGUCGAUGGUCUUGGAGUUGUGCUACUGCUCUCCUUUGUUACACUGUGUUGUCGUGUUGAGCACAGAUGUCAUGAAUGAAUAAUAUGAAUGAAUUUGAUAUAUAGUA